rnacentral:rRNA from 1 species
UACGUAGGGUGCAAGCGUUGUCCGGAAUUAUUGGGCGUAAAGAGCUCGUAGGCGGUUUGUCGCGUCUGCUGUGAAAACUCGGGGCUUAACUCCGGGCUUGCAGUGGGUACGGGCAGACUAGAGUGCGGUAGGGGAGACUGGAAUUCCUGGUGUAGCGGUGAAAUGCGCAGAUAUCAGGAGGAACACCGAUGGCGAAGGCAGGUCUCUGGGCAUUAACUGACGCUGAGGAGCGAAAGCAUGGGGAGCGAACAGG